CCUACGGGGGGCAGCAGUGGGGAAUUUUGCGCAAUGCUCGGAAGAGUGACGCAGCGACGCCGCGUGAAUGACGAAGGCCUUCGGGUCGUAAAGCUCUUUUGACAGGGAAGAAAAUGCAUAUAAGUAACUGUGUAUGUAUUGACGGUACCUGUAUAAGCCGCCCCGCCUAACUCCGUGCCAGCAGCCGCGGUAGUACGUAGGGGGCGAGCGUUGUUCGGAGUGACUGGGCUUAAAGAGCACGUAGGCGGUGUAUGAAGUCAUUAGUCAAAGACUAGAGCUCAACAUUAGUAAGGCUAGUGAUACUGUAAGACUAGAGUAUCAGAGAGGAAUGCGGAAUGCCUGGUGUAGCGGUGAAAUGCGUAGAUAUGAGGAAGAAUACCGUUGGCGAAGGCGGCAAUCUGGCUGGAAACUGACGCUGAGGUGCGAAAGCGUGGGUAGCAAACAGGAUUAGAUACCCGAGUAGUC
rnacentral:rRNA from 1 species